UGGGGAAUAUUGCGCAAUGGGCGAAAGCCUGACGCAGCGACGCCGCGUGAGGGAUGAAGGUUUUCGGAUCGUAAACCUCUGUCAGAAGGGAAGAAACCGCACUGUGCUAAUCAGCAGUGCCUUGACGGUACCUUCAAAGGAAGCACCGGCUAACUCCGUGCCAGCAGCCGCGGUAAUACGGAGGGUGCAAGCGUUAAUCGGAAUUACUGGGCGUAAAGCGCACGUAGGCUGCUUUGUAAGUCAGGGGUGAAAUCCCACGGCUCAACCGUGGAACUGCCUUUGAUACUGCUUAGCUUGAAUCCGGGAGAGGGUGGCGGAAUUCCAGGUGUAGGAGUGAAAUCCGUAGAUAUCUGGAGGAACAUCAGUGGCGAAGGCGGCCACCUGGACCGGUAUUGACGCUGAGGCGCGAAAGCGUGGGGAGCAAACAGG
rnacentral:rRNA from 1 species